UACGUAGGGCGCAAGCGUUAUCCGGAAUUAUUGGGCGUAAAGAGCUCGUAGGCGGUUUGUCGCGUCUGCCGUGAAAGUCCGGGGCUCAACCCCGGAUCUGCGGUGGGUACGGGCAGACUAGAGUGCGGUAGGGGAGACUGGAAUUCCUGGUGUAGCGGUGAAAUGCGCAGAUAUCAGGAGGAACACCGGUGGCGAAGGCGGGUCUCUGGGCCGAUACUGACGCUGAGGAGCGAAAGCGUGGGGAGCGAACAGG
rnacentral:rRNA from 1 species